GAUGAACGCUGGCGGCGUGCCUAAUACAUGCAAGUCGAGCGAACAGACGAUGAGCUUGCUCCUCUGACGUUAGCGGCGGACGGGUGAGUAACACGUGGAUAACCUACCUAUAAUACUUGGAUAACUUCGGGAAACCGGAGCUAAUACCGGAGAAUAUAUUGAACCGCAUGGUUCAAUAGUUAAAGACGGUUUUGCUGUCACUUAUAGAUGGAUUCGCGCCGCAUUAGCUAGUUGGUAAGGUAACGGCUUACCAAGGCAACGAUGCGUAGCCGACCUGAGAGGGUGAUCGGCCACACUGGAACUGAGACACGGUCCAGACUCCUACGGGAGGCAGCAGUAGGGAAUCUUCCGCAAUGGGCGAAAGCUUGACGGAGCAACGCCGCGUGAGUGAUGAAGGUCUUCGGAUCGUAAAACUCUGUUAUUAGGGAAGAAAAAAUGUGUAAGUAACUAUGCACGUCUUGACGGUACCCAAUCAGAAAGCCACGGCUAACUACGUG
rnacentral:rRNA from 1 species